rnacentral:lncRNA from 1 species
UUAAUAGAACUAGCUAGCUAGCUAGCUAAUUGGAAGAGAGAGAGAGAAAGAGCACUCAUGAAUGGCUGAUGAACAGAAAAUCCCUACAUUUUAAAGCAUACAUGUAGCACAAAUGUUGACUAUGCCAACAGGGAAAAUUGGUGAAUGGAAUGAUAACAGAUAAAAUUAUCUUUAUAAAUUCAUUUGUCCAUUCUGUGCAAUGCACUGAAUUUAAUUUAAUCUUAAAUUUAAUUCAUCUUUAAUUUAAUUGAAUCUUAAAUUCUUUUAAGACUCAUAAUAGCUCCCUAUAAAUUAAACGUAAUUAUUCCCAUUUUGUAUAUGGACAAAAUGAGAUUCAACGAGAUUAAGGUACUUUUCCAAAGACAUACAACAAACCAGUAAUAGAGCUGAGAUAUAAACACAGGUCUGUAUAAACCUAAAGUAUAUGAUACUACACCAUUGUGUCUGUGUCAUUUUAUGAGAAAAGAAAUUUAUCUUUUUGGGAGGAAUCACCCUGGGAAAGCAUGGUGUACUUUCACUCCAGUCUGUAGAUGUAAUCUCUAAGAACAUGAAUUGGGACAAAUAAGGAAAGAAACCAGACUAGCAGUGAUGGAUCCAGGAAAAAAAAAUUCAUAACUGCUCUUACCAAAGUAGUAUGUGACCUCUCAGGGUGUUCAUCACAUUUGUGUUAGUUUCCUUGUAUUCGGGAACAUGGCAGGAAAGUCAGAGACUAAUUCCCCAUAGAAGGUAAUAAGCCAUAGGAUGGAGGU